rnacentral:rRNA from 1 species
AUUGAACGCUGGCGGCAGGCCUAACACAUGCAAGUCGAACGCAGUGGGGACGGGUGAGUAACAAGUGGGUAACCUCCCAUCAGAGGGGAGAACACUUGGAAACAGGUGCUAAACCGAUACUGAUGGAUGGACUCGCGGUGCAUGAGCUAGUUGGUGAGGUAACGGCUCACCAAGGCCACGAUGCAUAGCCGGCCUGAGAGGAGGAGCGGCCACACUGGUACUGAGACACGGCCCAGACUCCUACGGGAGGCAGCAGUAGGGAAUCUUCGACAAUGGGCGAAAGUCUGACCGAGCCACGCCGCGUGUGUGAAGAAGGUUUUCGGAUCGUAAAGCUCUGUUUUUAGAGAAGCGUUAUCUAACCAGAAAGCCACGGCUAACUACGUGCCAGCAGCCGCGGUAAUAC